UACGUAGGGGGCAAGCGUUGUCCGGAAUCAUUGGGCGUAAAGCGCGCGUAGGCGGCCCGGUCAGUCCGUUGUGAAAGUCAAAGGCUCAACCUUUGAAUGCCGACGGAUACUGCCGGGCUAGAGUCCGGAAGAGGCGAGUGGAAUUCCUGGUGUAGCGGUGAAAUGCGCAGAUAUCAGGAGGAACACCGAUUGCGAAGGCAGCUCGCUGGGACGUCACUGACGCUGAGACGCGAAAGCGUGGGGAGCAAACAGG
rnacentral:rRNA from 1 species